AUGAACGCUAGCUACAGGCUUAACACAUGCAAGUCGAGGGGCAGCAUGGUCUUAGCUUGCUAAGGCCGAUGGCGACCGGCGCACGGGUGAGUAACACGUAUCCAACCUGCCGUCUACUCUUGGACAGCCUUCUGAAAGGAAGAUUAAUACAAGAUGGCAUCAUGAGUCCGCAUGUUCACAUGAUUAAAGGUAUUCCGGUAGACGAUGGGGAUGCGUUCCAUUAGAUAGUAGGCGGGGUAACGGCCCACCUAGUCUUCGAUGGAUAGGGGUUCUGAGAGGAAGGUCCCCCACAUUGGAACUGAGACACGGUCCAAACUCCUACGGGAGGCAGCAGUGAGGAAUAUUGGUCAAUGGGCGAGAGCCUGAACCAGCCAAGUAGCGUGAAGGAUGACUGCCCUAUGGGUUGUAAACUUCUUUUAUAAAGGAAUAAAGUCGGGUAUGGAUACCCGUUUGCAUGUACUUUAUGAAUAAGGAUCGGCUAACUCCGUGCCAGCAGCCGCGGUAAUACGGAGGAUCCGAGCGUUAUCCGGAUUUAUUGGGUUUAAAGGGAGCGUAGAUGGAUAUUUAAGUCAGUUGUGAAAGUUUGCGGCUCAACCGUAAAAUUGCAGUUGAUACUGGAUAUCUUGAGUGCAGUUGAGGCAGGCGGAAUUCGUGGUGUAGCGGUGAAAUGCUUAGAUAUCACGAAGAACUCCGAUUGCGAAGGCAGCCUGCUAAGCUGCAACUGACAUUGAGGCUCGAAAGUGUGGGUAUCAAACAGGAUUAGAUACCCUGGUAGUCCACACGGUAAACGAUGAAUACUCGCUGUUUGCGAUAUACUGCAAGCGGCCAAGCGAAAGCGUUAAGUAUUCCACCUGGGGAGUACGCCGGCAACGGUGAAACUCAAAGGAAUUGACGGGGGCCCGCACAAGCAGUGGAGUAUGUGGUUUAAUUCGACGCAACGCGAAGAACCUUACCAGGUCUUGACAUUCACUUAAACUUACAGAGAUGUAAGGUGUGCUUGCACAAAGUGAGACAGGUGGUGCAUGGUUGUCGUCAGCUCGUGUCGUGAGAUGUUGGGUUAAGUCCCGCAACGAGCGCAACCCUUAUCCUUUGUUGCCAGCGGUCCGGCCGGGAACUCAAAGGAGACUGCCAGUGAUAAACUGGAGGAAGGUGGGGAUGACGUCAAAUCAGCACGGCCCUUACGUCCGGGGCUACACACGUGUUACAAUGGGGGGUACAGAGGGCCGCUACCACGCGAGUGGAUGCCAAUCCCCAAAACCUCUCUCAGUUCGGACUGGAGUCUGCAACCCGACUCCACGAAGCUGGAUUCGCUAGUAAUCGCGCAUCAGCCACGGCGCGGUGAAUACGUUCCCGGGCCUUGUACACACCGCCCGUCAAGCCAUGGGAGCCGGGGGUACCUGAAGUGCGUAACCGCGAGGAGCGCCCUAGGGUAAAACUGGUGACUGGGGCU
rnacentral:rRNA from 1 species